AGCGUAUAAAAUGUGUCAUACAUAGCAUUCUUCUUUUCCUUAGCUCAUUUGGUUCAAAGGUACCAAGGUGUAGGCCUAUAGUCUUGUCAAAGGGGGAAUUUAUUAGAAUGUUUUGCUUUCCAAUUCAGAUGCAAAACAAUAACUACUCUUACAUUUAGUCAUUUAGCAGACGCUUUUGUCCAAAACUCUUCUUACCCGUUUCAGCUAUGCAGUAAUAGUUCAAGUAUAAACUACUCACAUUUGUGAAUGGAAAAUAUAGGCAAUGGUGGUGAAGCCGGGUAAAUUGUGUGAACCCAAUUUCAGUGAAGAGGAGCUCUCUAGAACAGGGGUCCCCAACCUUUUUUGCACCACGGACCGGUUUAAUGUAGGCAUUAUUUUCACGGACCGGCAGAUAAAUACAGCAAAAAUAAAAUAACGCGACCGGCAUAAAAACGAAUGUUAAGUGCAUGAAAAAUACAACUCACCAUUGUACUGACUUGUACUUUAUCCUAUAAAGCAGUGGUUCUCAAAGUGGGGGGCGGGGGGCGCGCAAUGUCACAGACGGAGAAAAAAAGUUCUUAAGGGCUUAAUUUGUGAGAAACCGUGGCGAUUGCGUUCAUGUCAAUUCUACAGUCAUCCUUAAAUAAUUAUUAUUUAAAAAUAAAAAAUAGGAGAAUAUUUUAAUCAUUAACAAUUACGUUUCAUAUUUAAAUUCAUGAUUCUAAGAGGCAUCGUAAUGUUCUAAAAAAGCACUACACGAACACUGCAAAUAUAACUGAAUAAAUAAAUAAGCAUUAAACUCAAUCGCGUGGAUAUAGCCAUAUUGGAAUAGAAUGGACACAUCUACAUUCUGCAACAGUAUACCUCCACCUCUGCACUGGUGAAGUUAGGUCCGCUUUGACAUGAUUUUGAUCAGUCUGAAGUUGAUUUCGCGUUGCUGUGGAGUCUGUGGAUGGUGCACACGUCUCUUCAGGCCUUUUCCCCUUCGCAAAGAAGCUCUCCAAGGACGUUUGUUUCUUACUAAUUUUCGCUAGUUUGCUGGUUUAUUUUUUGAGUAACGUAUCACGUGACCGAGACAAGCGUCUUGACGUGUCAAGAGGCACAGGCGAAUGUUACGUCGGGGAAAAUCCGAUCGUUUUUCAAAAUAAAACACCUUUCAGACUCUAAUAAUUAAUACAACGGAAAUUAUAUAAAUUAUUUAUUCUUUCUUUGCGGCCCGGUAGGAAAUGCCUCACGGACCGGUACCGGGCCGCGGCCCGGUGGUUGGGGACCACUGCUCUAGAAGUCAGAGGUGUACAACCACUACCUAUGUGGGCAAUCAUCAUCUCCUGUAAAUCUGAUGUCAGUGGAAGAGCAAGUGACAUCCAGUCUCUCCACAGUCUACGUGCAUCUACACCUGUCGAGUGAGAGGACCAAGCCAGGCAGUGUCCUCAUCUCCAGAGCAGACCAGCGGUGGGUAGGCCAUACACUGCUGUUCAGAGUGUUCCAUCUGAGAAGAGUGAAAUGCAGAUAGCCUGCUGAGGAGUCCGUGGAACGUGAGUCUGCAGAGCAACACCCAGAUGACCCAGCAACAGAAUAUCGGCGCUUGAUACAAAUGAAAGAGGAGAGACUGGCAGAGAAGAGAGAAGAAAGGGAGCACCAACAGCAGAUGCCACUCUAAGUUCAGUUCAUGCUCACAAAUAAAAUGUCUUGUUAUUUGUCUUAUGUUAUCUAGUGUUAACUACUGCAUUGUAAUUGAUGUUGUUGAAUAAAAUGCUUGUCAACAAACAUUUGGC
ensembl:lncRNA